GUGUCUGCAGGUUACUGCGUUUCUCUCUGCUUUUCACAGCAUCUCUCCAAGCUUAGCCUCCUGCUUACCUGCUUUUCCAGUUCAUUAGUGGGAGUGUUACAUACGCCUGGGCCAGGAACUGUCUUCAGGCCGCUCAGAAGUACAGCAUGACAUGUAAACUGAGGAGACAUAAACCGUAUUGUCUUGUCAGGAACUAUCUUUUAUAAGCCAUUUAAUCUUUACAGAACUUAGUGUGAAGGGAUCUGAUGAGAAAACAUCUUAAAUUUAUGUUUACCUUAGUCUUAUGAGACUCUAAAAAUGCCACAUUUGUUGAUAUGUAGCUUUUGUGCAUUUAUUUUGGCAGUGAGUUAUCAAUUGCUGUAAUAAUCUGUACUAUACUUGGGGCAUCUACUAUAUAUUAGGUAUUAUAACAAGAGUGUUACCUUAAUCUUCCCAUCAUUUCUAUGAAGUUACUCUUACUAUUUUCAUCUUACAGAUGAAGAGAUUCUUAUGAGAAUAUAUUCUUCUUGAGGUCCUAUAGCAGGAAAAUGGAGAACUGAAUCUAUUCUAACACCAUAAAAAUAGAAUCAGAGUAAUAAUGAGAACAGGCAACAUAAGACAAGAAGAGAAUUCUACCCUGGUCAAGAAGAAGACUUCUCCAACUCUAAAAUCCAAAUAAAUUAA